rnacentral:RNase_P_RNA from 1 species
UGAGCUAUUCGGCUGACCGCCCAUACGGGAGGAAAGUCCGGGCAGCGCAGAGAACGACAGUUGUUAACGGCAACCAAGAGUAAUCUUAGGGAAAGUGCCACAGAAACGACACAGCCUAACGCCCUAAAGGCGCGGCAAUGGUGAAACGAGUGGGGUAAGAGCCCACAGUCUCUCGUGGUGACACGGGAGAGAGGUAAACCCUGUCGGCUGCAAGGUAGUAUCAUCUAGCAGGCUUCUCGCCAUGAUGGUACGUUCAAUAAUCCGCGACGAGCCGCAUGGCAACAUGCGGACAAGAUAGAUGGCCAGCCCCGCCUAACGGCGGGACAGAACCCGGCUUAUAGAAUAGCUCACACC